rnacentral:rRNA from 1 species
UACGUAGGGUGCAAGCGUUGUCCGGACUUAUUGGGCGUAAAGCGAGCGCAGGCGGUUUGAUAAGUCUGAAGUUAAAGGCUGUGGCUCAACCAUAGUUCGCUUUGGAAACUGUCAAACUUGAGUGCAGAAGGGGAGAGUGGAAUUCCAUGUGUAGCGGUGAAAUGCGUAGAUAUAUGGAGGGACACCGGUGGCGAAAGCGGCUCUCUGGUCUGUAACUGACGCUGAGGCUCGAAAGCGUGGGGAGCGAACAGG